AAAUUGAAGAGUUUGAUCAUGGCUCAGAUUGAACGCUGGCGGCAGGCCUAACACAUGCAAGUCGAACGGUAACAGAAAGCAGCUUGCUGCUUUGCUGACGAGUGGCGGACGGGUGAGUAAUGUCUGGGAAACUGCCUGAUGGAGGGGGAUAACUACUGGAAACGGUAGCUAAUACCGCAUAACG
rnacentral:rRNA from 1 species